AACUAGAUGGGUUGUCUUACUAGAAAUGUGCUGAAAAAAAAUAUGCAAUGGGAGUCAGCAGAAUGACUACCGCUUUCAUUCGGAUCUGGAGCAAGCUGACACUGUUCAAAGGGUUGAGUAGCAUUUCUCAGAAACGAUAAACCGCUGGGACCUAAUAGUCCAUAUGAGAAAGGGGUUAGUAAAGGGCAUCUAAGUGUUUUGGCACUCCUAAGUCUUUACUACCUUUAUUUUCUUGGAAAAGAAGACCAUAUGCUCUCUCCAGAGUCCUCCCCAGGCUUUAUAACAGUCUGAAGUCAGAAGUUGUUGGUUGUAGUUUUUCUCCUGUUUACGGGGAGAUGAGGGCAGUUGCUGGUGUGAGCACUGAAAACCACUUUGGGUACGUUUGAGCAGCGGUUGCACACACGGGAGCCAAUGCUGGCCGUUCUGCUAACAACAUUUGCAAGCAUGGGAUUAUUAGGUUUGGGUAAUUUAGGUAUGUGCCAGGCCAUGAUUUCCAGCCGUGGUGAAGUCCUCUCCCUCUAAAACACAAGCCCACAUCAGACGGGUAAGCAGAAGCACUAAUGCUUGGCCCUUUUUUCUUUACAGUAUCUUGCAAUAAGAUUUUAUUGCUAGUACCCUGUUAAUUACACCCCAUGUUCUCAUUGAGCCUUCCUGAAGAAAUUUUUCUUGCUGUUUCCAAAUAUAUCCAAAAAAUGUGAAACGCAGGCUGUAAACCAGAAGAGCAGCAGACAGUACUGCGCAAUGUUGUUAAAAGAUACUCUGGAUUUCCUAGAGGGAAUGUGCCCUCUUUCUCUUUCCUGUGCUCACUCAGAGCUUGGAGGUUAUUUUUGCUGUUCGAAGACUGAUGAAAGAUUCUUAAAAAGCAACAAAACAGGGAGAGCAAAAAGCCCUGAGGCUGUAACUUAAAUUAUUUGCAAAUCUAGAAUAAGGUUUAAAGCAGGUAGAAGCUCAGCACACCUGCUGGUGGGUACCUGGGGGGGCCCUGCAAGAGCAAAGGGAUGCUGCUGGGCACCAGGGUGGUGCAUGGCCUAUGGUAAAGCCCAUCAGAGACCGCCUUCAUCUUCAGAAGUAGGGAAAAUAUAAAAUAGGGAUGGGACGGAACGGGUUUGUAUUCAGGCUCCGACUCCUUGACCCAUUUUAGUCAGUUGAGCUUCCUUGCUGUUUCAAUAGCAUUGAGUGGGACCCGGCAGGGAAAGUCUGGAGCAUCAUUCCCUGCAUGCCUCAGAUGCUCCUCAGGGUUUGAAGAGCAGGCUGUCAAAGGAAAUCUCUCCACACCAAGCUGGCUAAGGGUGAAGAGACCCUGGGCAUUCCUCACUGGGUCAGAUGAGGCCAUCUAAAAGGUAUUUCAAGAGCAAUUUAUACUCCAAAAGCUGCCAAAAGGCUGAGAAGUCACGCACAAAAGACAACUAUUUUUCCUCUGUUGACUAUAAAGCGGGAGCAUUUAGGACUGGGCUCGGAGCUUAAGGUUAGAAGUGAUAAAUUCCACCUUCUCAGAGCGUCUGUGUCAACUCAGUGUAUCAUUAACAGCUCAAGCAGGAGAAGAGCGAUGCAGAUCGAUCCUGCUAUUAACAUCAAGCCAGAGCGUGGCCCGAACGUGAUCCUCAAAUAAUAGCUGAGCCCACAGCAGCGAUGGAUGGCAACGUCGCAGCCUGCUGACAUCCUUCCUGAGCCCUGAAAAUACAUAUUGAGACCUAUCAGCCCCUGGAAUCACAGUGUAUUAGCAUAAAGAGUGAAUCACAAGCAGUUUAAUUCUGUUACUCAGAAUAACAAGCAAAAUUGAUUACAGGCUCCUAAAAUACUAAUCUCUUAGAGGGAUUUGUCACUCUGUAAGGACAGAGGAUCCCCAAGGUCUGAGGGGUCUCCUGCAGAUGCAAUCUGCAUUUUAACUUCCCUGGUGAGGUCUCACAUUCUAGAGGUGAAACUAGAAGUGAAGGCAGCUGGUUUGCCCUGCCCAGGGUUUCCUUUUGUGCCUUCACAGAGCAAGGACACAGGAUUUCGAGAACACCAAUGGACUCCUCCAGCCUUUGCUCCCCAAAAAUCUGAAAAUUUUCAGAGGGAUGGCCCAGCCAGGCUGUAGGAAGUAAAUUCAUAUUUGCACUUUUAGGAAUGUGAAAACAGAUGUAUAACACAAGUCCCCAGGCUCCCAUGGACCCAUACUGUGUUUCCGAGGGGAGCUAUCUGACAGUGACCAGGGCGAUCUCUAGGUGCCUCCACUCCUAAACCAAGAGCAGCUCUUGAUUCAUGCCCUGGGCAGCCGGGAAUAGCAGCCGUGUCCCUGCAUCACUCCCCUUGGUCGCCUCUCACCUUUAUUACCCCGAGGUCGAUAAUGCGAUUUGUAGGCUGGACUGUUCCCUGGCAACACACUGCUUCAAACUCUUCCUGCAAAAUUUCUCUGCCAUUCAUGUCCAAUCGAGUUCAACAUCAAGUGGCUCUUUUUGCAGCCUGAGUAGGUGUUUGUGUAUUGCCUGCCUUUAAGUAAAUGCGUUCCUAUUAAACAUGUACUGCAGCAUUCAGCCGAGUACAUGUAGUGCAUCAACUGAGAGGAGGGAGGAGCAGCCAGGUCUGCUGUUCUUCAUCAAAAAGCUCUGCUGCAUGAGACACCUGGCCUCCUCACAGGCAGUUCUCACUGCUGUUGUCUUCUCCUCGAACUAGCCAGCCAGGACUACCAAGCUGAGUCACUCCACAACCAACACAGUUACAUUCUUUGGAAAGACAUUGAGGUGCGUUUCAUAGCCAGAAGAUGUUUGAGAAGGGAAAGCUCAUCCGAACAUGUCACAGCACUCUCAAAACUAUCAAGCUGCAACAAGGCUUCUACCACCCCAUACCAGGUUAACUUCAGUAAGUAGUUCCCACACCUUGUCCCAGCACAGUCACCAAUCCCCCACAAGCUUUCAAAAGUUCAUCUACUGUCCAUGCUGUUUCUUCAUCCUCUUCAGGCCAGUCCACCCUACUUCUUGCCUCUGCUGCAUCCUUCUCCUUGUCUCUUCUAUCUCCAGGGCACUCUCUCUUCUGCUUCUUCUAUGUCUCUCCUCAUUCACUGCUCCUCUUCCCUACCCCUUAGAGCUAUUUAACUACUCAGCAGGAACCAGCCACAGCUGCACAUCAUCCACCUCAGCCAACCCACCGCCCCUGAAGCAAGCCCACAGCUGUAUAUUAUCAAUGUAAAUUAACCUGCCUUCAUUCCUCUACAUGAACAUAGGCUCUCCUUUGCCCAGCUCUACCCCAAGCUUCAUAGCUGGUUGAGUUUUUUUGAUUUUCCCACCAUUCAUCAUUUGUAUCAACUUUUUUUAACCAUCUACAAGGUAAGAAACUUGCUCGGCUGGAGCAGCCAAGCUGUGCCAGCUGCAUGCACUGUCAGGGCAGGUGACAACUGCAGAGGCCAGGGGCAGGGUGCAACUUGCACCAGCUUUGUAAAGCAAAUCUCCAUUUGAGUCUGAUGGCAUCACCCCUGCAGCAGCCAAGGGAGAAGUUAAAACCAACAGUUAGUUAGUUUUCUUAUGAGGAAACAGAAUUCCAAACAAGCCACAGGAACUUUGCUUUAGAUGGAUGAAAAUCCUGAGGGAGGGACACAGCAGAAGCCCUGAGGAACCAACAGCUCCCCAGCCAACAUCAGUGGCGCUAACCCCAGGAAGGACCAGGUUUGCUGUGGGAACUGGAGAUACAGGACACCCUCAGGAGCCAAGAGGAGAAAUCUUUCUUCGCUGAUGGAGAUAAGCAUCUUACCUAGCGUUGUAUUGCCACAAACCAUUUGCUGUCGCACUCCAGUACCAAGUACUUGCAACAAAGUUGUCGCAUGUUGUGCUGCAAACAGAUCUAAUGUGAUCCCUACCUAUGCUGAAAACCACAAAAAAAGUUCCAGCUCCUGCUAUGAAAGGCAGCAAUUGGCCUUACACCGAUUUGAAAACAGCUACUGCUCUGUGCUGUGUACCAUGUGAACUGGCAUCCUCGCCAGAGGCUGCUCAUCGUGGGAUUUAAAGCACAGCCAAAGAAAGCUCUCCAAAUCCAAAAUAAUGGAAGUUGACGUGGAUUCAUGACACGCAAAGGGCAGAGAGGUUUCUCUGUCAGGAUUUGGCAUUACACACCAUUAAAAAAAAUAAUAAAAGUCGGGUGUGCAAAAGACUCAUUCGGGAGCCCAGCCACAGUGUCACCUGCCUGUUGGCUGCUGGCCCUGCGUGUCUAAGCCCGGCAGCAGUAAGCAUCUCGGGUAGAAAAUGAAAUGCCAUGGGAAGAGUGCUUUCCUCCCCUGGCGUACCUGCCAUCCUCCUCUGAGCUCAUGCCCUGUCGUACUGCAGUGCGAUGCUCCCACAGCAGAUGAGGCUUUUCACGUUGGUUUUAUGGACUGGGCUGUGUUGUGGUGUUGGUUUCUUUUGUAGCAAAAUUAUGUUAUGGAGCAAGUGCUGGGAAAGCCAAAGAAAACAUUUUUUAUGAGCUGAGCAAAUAUUUUGUUUAUUUGUAGUACAAAUGUUCUUUCUCUGAAUAAAUGCUGAGCUUCCUGCA